UAUGGAAGGCAGCAGUGGGGAAUAUUGCACAAUGGGCGCAAGCCUGAUGCAGCCAUGCCGCGUGUAUGAAGAAGGCCUUCGGGUUGUAAAGUACUUUCAGUCGUGAGGAAGGUGUUAAGGUUAAUAACCUUAGCAAUUGACGUUAGCGACAGAAGAAGCACCGGCUAACUCCGUGCCAGCAGCCGCGGUAAUACGGAGGGUGCGAGCGUUAAUCGGAAUUACUGGGCGUAAAGGGCACGCAGGCGGUUAAUUAAGUUGGAUGUGAAAUCCCCGGGCUUAACCUGGGAAUGGCAUUCAAGACUGGUUAGCUAGAGUCUUGUAGAGGGGGUAGAAUUCCAUGUGUAGCGGUGAAAUGCGUAGAGAUGUGGAGGAAUACCGGGUGGCGAAGGCGGCCCCUGGGACAAAGACUGACGCUCAUGUGCGAAAGCGUGGGGAGCAAACAGGGAUUAGAUACC
rnacentral:rRNA from 1 species